GGGUUGUGAGGUUAAGCGACUAAGCGUACACGGUGGAUGCCCUGGCAGUCAGAGGCGAUGAAGGGCGUGCUAAUCUGCGAUAAGCGCCGGUAAGGUGAUAUGAACCGUUAUAACCGGCGAUACCCGAAUGGGGAAACCCAGUGUGAUUCGUCACACUAUCAUUAACUGAAUCCAUAGGUUAAUGAGGCGAACCGGGGGAACUGAAACAUCUAAGUACCCCGAGGAAAAGAAAUCAACCGAGAUUCCCCCAGUAGCGGCGAGCGAACGGGGAGGAGCCCAGAGCCUGAAUCAGCAUGUGUGUUAGUGGAAGCGUCUGGAAAGGCGCGCGAUACAGGGUGACAGCCCCGUACACAAAAGCGCAUGUGUUGUGAGCUCGAUGAGUAGGGCGGGACACGUGGUAUCCUGUCUGAAUAUGGGGGGACCAUCCUCCAAGGCUAAAUACUCCUGACUGACCGAUAGUGAACCAGUACCGUGAGGGAAAGGCGAAAAGAACCCCGGCGAGGGGAGUGAAAAAGAACCUGAAACCGUGUACGUACAAGCAGUGGGAGCACAGGUUUACCUGUGUGACUGCGUACCUUUUGUAUAAUGGGUCAGCGACUUAUAUUCUGUAGCAAGGUUAACCGUAUAGGGGAGCCGGAGGGAAACCGAGUCUUAACCGGGCGUUAAGUUGCAGGGUAUAGACCCGAAACCCGGUGAUCUAGCCAUGGGCAGGUUGAAGGUUGGGUAACACUAACUGGAGGACCGAACCGACUAAUGUUGAAAAAUUAGCGGAUGACCUGUGGCUGGGGGUGAAAGGCCAAUCAAACCGGGAGAUAGCUGGUUCUCCCCGAAAGCUAUUUAGGUAGCGCCUCGUGAAUUCAUCUCCGGGGGUAGAGCACUGUUUCGGCUAGGGGGCCAUCCCGGCUUACCAACCCGAUGCAAACUGCGAAUACCGGAGAAUGUUAUCACGGGAGACACACGGCGGGUGCUAACGUCCGUCGUGAAGAGGGAAACAACCCAGACCGCCAGCUAAGGUCCCAAAGUCAUGGUUAAGUGGGAAACGAUGUGGGAAGGCCCAGACAGCCAGGAUGUUGGCUUAGAAGCAGCCAUCAUUUAAAGAAAGCGUAAUAGCUCACUGGUCGAGUCGGCCUGCGCGGAAGAUGUAACGGGGCUAAACCAU
rnacentral:rRNA from 1 species